CACGACUACUUUGAAAAUAUAAGAAUUUUGUAAAUGGAGAGAGAAAUUUGUUUCUCUUUAAAAGCGUUUUAUUGUUCUGAAGCGUUUUAUUCUUGAGAUGGUGCGAAUUCUACAAUGCUAGUACACAAGACGCGUCUUUUGUGAUAACAUCUGUGAAAAUUAUAUUCUUUGUUAUUUAAAUGUCAACUCGUCUGCCUUUGAAAGUUGUUAUCAAUUAUUUUUAUCUUUACGUCAGAAAAUGAAACUGCGUAAGAGUUAGUUGCAUACAUUUGUCUAUGAGAAAAUAAUAUUCACGUCUCUUUAUUUCUCCAUUAUGAUUAUGUUCUUAGAUUUUUUUUUAAAUAUGUGAUACACAGAUAAACGCUUUCGGAUAUACGGCAAACACUUUUAACUAUUUCAAACAUGGAGGGAAUUCGAACACAUUGCCUACAAUAUUAUUCUGUGUUGGUACAGCUACGUUCAUAAAGUUUUAACAAAUCUUAAAACGUUGUUCAACAACUUCGCAUUUAUAUGUACGAAAAGAUAACUGCAAUACACUUGAAUAAGCUGUAGAUUUUAAAAUUACUUACUGUGUACACGUGUGCAGACUUGCGACCUAGAAUAUCAUACUGAUGAUGGAAAUGAAGGUUUUUACCAUUCUAAUCCAGAAACGCGUCUAUGAUUAACUAAGACUGAUUCUAGAUUCAACGUGAACCAGUACAUAGAGGACAUGAAGAGGAGGAUACAACGAGGGAAAACGUAGUCCAGGCUG